GGGUUGUGAGGUUAAGCGACUAAGCGUACACGGUGGAUGCCCUGGCAGUCAGAGGCGAUGAAGGACGUGCUAAUCUGCGAUAAGCGCCGGUAAGGUGAUAUGAACCGUUAUAACCGGCGAUUUCCGAAUGGGGAAACCCAGUGUGACUCGUCACACUAUCAUUAACUGAAUCCAUAGGUUAAUGAGGCGAACCGGGGGAACUGAAACAUCUAAGUACCCCGAGGAAAAGAAAUCAACCGAGAUUCCCCCAGUAGCGGCGAGCGAACGGGGAGGAGCCCAGAGCCUGAAUCAGCAUGUGUGUUAGUGGAAGCGUCUGGAAAGGCGCGCGAUACAGGGUGACAGCCCCGUACACAAAAGCGCAUGUGCUGUGAGCUCGAUGAGUAGGGCGGGACACGUGGUAUCCUGUCUGAAUAUGGGGGGACCAUCCUCCAAGGCUAAAUACUCCUGACUGACCGAUAGUGAACCAGUACCGUGAGGGAAAGGCGAAAAGAACCCCGGCGAGGGGAGUGAAAAAGAACCUGAAACCGUGUACGUACAAGCAGUGGGAGCACCCUUUGGGGUGUGACUGCGUACCUUUUGUAUAAUGGGUCAGCGACUUAUAUUCUGUAGCAAGGUUAACCGAAUAGGGGAGCCGGAGGGAAACCGAGUCUUAAUUGGGCGUUAAGUUGCAGGGUAUAGACCCGAAACCCGGUGAUCUAGCCAUGGGCAGGUUGAAGGUUGGGUAACACUAACUGGAGGACCGAACCGACUAAUGUUGAAAAAUUAGCGGAUGACCUGUGGCUGGGGGUGAAAGGCCAAUCAAACCGGGAGAUAGCUGGUUCUCCCCGAAAGCUAUUUAGGUAGCGCCUCGUGAAUUCAUCUCCGGGGGUAGAGCACUGUUUCGGCUAGGGGGCCAUCCCGGCUUACCAACCCGAUGCAAACUGCGAAUACCGGAGAAUGUUAUCACGGGAGACACACGGCGGGUGCUAACGUCCGUCGUGAAGAGGGAAACAACCCAGACCGCCAGCUAAGGUCCCAAAGUCAUGGUUAAGUGGGAAACGAUGUGGGAAGGCCCAGACAGCCAGGAUGUUGGCUUAGAAGCAGCCAUCAUUUAAAGAAAGCGUAAUAGCUCACUGGUCGAGUCGGCCUGCGCGGAAGAUGUAACGGGGCUAAACCAUGCACCGAAGCUGCGGCAGCGACGCUGAUGCGUUGUUGGGUAGGGGAGCGUUCUGUAAGCCUGCGAAGGUGGCCUGUGAGGGUUGCUGGAGGUAUCAGAAGUGCGAAUGCUGACAUAAGUAACGAUAAAGCGGGUGAAAAGCCCGCUCGCCGGAAGACCAAGGGUUCCUGUCCAACGUUAAUCGGGGCAGGGUGAGUCGACCCCUAAGGCGAGGCCGAAAGGCGUAGUCGAUGGGAAACGGGUUAAUAUUCCCGUACUUGGUGUUACUGCGAAGGGGGGACGGAGAAGGCUAUGUUGGCCGGGCGACGGUUGUCCCGGUUUAAGCGUGUAGGUGUGUGUUCCAGGUAAAUCCGGUUCACUUUAACACUGAGGCGUGAUGACGAGGCACUACGGUGCUGAAGCAACAAAUGCCCUGCUUCCAGGAAAAGCCUCUAAGCAUCAGGUAACAUCAAAUCGUACCCCAAACCGACACAGGUGGUCAGGUAGAGAAUACCAAGGCGCUUGAGAGAACUCGGGUGAAGGAACUAGGCAAAAUGGUGCCGUAACUUCGGGAGAAGGCACGCUGACACGUAGGUGAAGUGAUUUACUCAUGGAGCUGAAGUCAGUCGAAGAUACCAGCUGGCUGCAACUGUUUAUUAAAAACACAGCACUGUGCAAACACGAAAGUGGACGUAUACGGUGUGACGCCUGCCCGGUGCCGGAAGGUUAAUUGAUGGGGUCAGCGCAAGCGAAGCUCCUGAUCGAAGCCCCGGUAAACGGCGGCCGUAACUAUAACGGUCCUAAGGUAGCGAAAUUCCUUGUCGGGUAAGUUCCGACCUGCACGAAUGGCGUAAUGAUGGCCAGGCUGUCUCCACCCGAGACUCAGUGAAAUUGAACUCGCUGUGAAGAUGCAGUGUACCCGCGGCAAGACGGAAAGACCCCGUGAACCUUUACUAUAGCUUGACACUGAACAUUGAGCCUUGAUGUGUAGGAUAGGUGGGAGGCUUUGAAGUGUGGACGCCAGUCUGCAUGGAGCCGGCCUUGAAAUACCACCCUUUAAUGUUUGAUGUUCUAACGUGGACCCGUGAUCCGGGUUGCGGACAGUGUCUGGUGGGUAGUUUGACUGGGGCGGUCUCCUCCUAAAGAGUAACGGAGGAGCACGAAGGUUGGCUAAUCCUGGUCGGACAUCAGGAGGUUAGUGCAAUGGCAUAAGCCAGCUUGACUGCGAGCGUGACGGCGCGAGCAGGUGCGAAAGCAGGUCAUAGUGAUCCGGUGGUUCUGAAUGGAAGGGCCAUCGCUCAACGGAUAAAAGGUACUCCGGGGAUAACAGGCUGAUACCGCCCAAGAGUUCAUAUCGACGGCGGUGUUUGGCACCUCGAUGUCGGCUCAUCACAUCCUGGGGCUGAAGUAGGUCCCAAGGGUAUGGCUGUUCGCCAUUUAAAGUGGUACGCGAGCUGGGUUUAGAACGUCGUGAGACAGUUCGGUCCCUAUCUGCCGUGGGCGCUGGAGAACUGAGGGGGGCUGCUCCUAGUACGAGAGGACCGGAGUGGACGCAUCACUGGUGUUCGGGUUGUCAUGCCAAUGGCACUGCCCGGUAGCUAAAUGCGGAAGAGAUAAGUGCUGAAAGCAUCUAAGCACGAAACUUGCCCCGAGAUGAGUUCUCCCUGAGACUUAGAGUCUCCUGAAGGAACGUUGAAGACGACGACGUUGAUAGGCCGGGUGUGUAAGCGCAGCGAUGCGUUGAGCUAACCGGUACUAAUGAACCGUGAGGCUUAACCUUACA
rnacentral:rRNA from 2 species